GAUAAUGCAUUGCCUCAGUAUCAGCCAUCAUAGCAACUGGUUCCUGUCUGAAGCGAGUCAGUACUCCUAACAGAGAGCUAGUCAAGUUUGGCCCUUGCAAAAGCUGACCAUUUAAAGAGGUAGCUGGCGGUGCAGCUUCUUCUUUUGUGGGUGGUAUACCCCAUGAAGAGGAAUAUACCACACUUUACCAUCUUGGCAGUUCAGGUGUGUUGUUGGUACCGCCACUGCAUAUCUUUAAUUAAGCAUGUCAUUCAUGAAACUUGUGUAUUCUUCAUGAAACACAGGAUUCCUCUUCAGCUUGCUCUUGAGGUUUAACACUCGCUGUAUCAAUGGUUGUUUGGCAUUUGGACAUUUGUUUUCUUCAUGGGAAGAUCUAUGUAGAAAUGUCCAUCCAUGACGCAUGCAGAGCGUGACACAGAAUCCAUGAAGUGAUGAGCCUCCUGCGACAUCUCUGAUUUAUCAUCACAGUUGCUUUCUGGAAAGUCAUGAUUAUAUUGCUGUAUGAGUAGUUGUUCCACAUUCUCAACAGAAAUUCUGUUGACUACAGCACACAGCAGUGCACAGUGUGCUGUCAUCCACUGUGGUGUCACUUGGCUCCUUGAGCGGUCCGUUCAAAAUCCAUCCAACAGCAGUUUUUACUGCAUAUGGUCCAUUGUUCUGGCUAUGGAUCACUUUGCAUGGCUCUAAAACGUUAUGCUCUUUGGUUCCUAUGAGAAGUUCCACUUCUUUAUCAAUGAAAGGCAACUUCACUUCACUCAGAUACGGCCAUUUGUCAACAUCUUUUUGCAAUGGAAUGUUAUCUUUUGAAACAGGGAUGCAUUUUUUGUGUGAAGACUUUGGAUAACUCAGUGAAAUUGCUGUUCUCAAGACCACUGACUUCUAAACGUGUGAGGAUGUAACUUUGCACUCUCCUUUUGGAAUUGAUGGUGCUCACCAUAAGGGCUGAAUGUGAUGUUUGAAGACCAGCAGAGAACCUUACUGUGGAAAGCAGGUUUCAAAGGAAGGUCGAAGCAGGAGACCAGCCGUGUGGUAGAGCUCUACCACGAGUUCCAUAGGAUCACCAAUGAAAACCUGCCAUCUUCCUUUUUUCCCCCGCGUUGGAUAAAUACACAUCACAGCUUCUAAAAUUGUACAAAAAGAAGACGACUGGAAGGUUUGGAGAGAAGCUGCAGCAUGUUGUGACAGCAUACGAAGAACAGGACAAGAACAACAUCACUGCAGCCAGGACAGCAGCCCUUGCCAGCCUACCACCGUACCUGAAAGAGGAUUCGUCAGACAUAUUCAAGACUUGCACGGUAAUUCUUCAUUCUCCUGCAUCAAAACUUGAAACUGAAACAUCACUGAACAGAGUUAAUGGAAACUGCCUUAUACGGUGUGCCUAAUUGGCUUCCUGUUGAGCAGUUCCCUUGCUUAGAUUAUUUUUUAUUGUGAAG